rnacentral:rRNA from 1 species
GAUGAACGCUAGCGGCAGGCUUAACACAUGCAAGUCGAGGGGUAUAGGUUUUCGGACCUAGAGACCGGCGCACGGGUGCGUAACGCGUAUGCAAUCUACCUUUCACAGAGGGAUAGCCCAGAGAAAUUUGGAUUAAUACCUCAUAGUAUUAUAGAAUGGCAUCAUUUUAUAAUUAAAGUCACAACGGUGAAAGAUGAGCAUGCGUCCCAUUAGCUAGUUGGUAUGGUAACGGCAUACCAAGGCAACGAUGGGUAGGGGUCCUGAGAGGGAGAUCCCCCACACUGGUACUGAGACACGGACCAGACUCCUACGGGAGGCAGCAGUGAGGAAUAUUGGUCAAUGGGCGCAAGCCUGAACCAGCCAUGCCGCGUGCAGGAUGACGGUCCUAUGGAUUGUAAACUGCUUUUGCACAGGAAGAAACAACGCUACGUGUAGCGUCUUGACGGUACUGUGAGAAUAAGGAUCGGCUAACUCCGUG